CUUUGCAGAAAAGCAGGUCGGAACUAAAGGCGCACGUUGAAAACAGCGACGGGAUAUUUUUACCGUGACACAAAACGUCAUUGAUUUGGAGCAGUUACAUUAUAUCGACUAGCCGAGCUUGAUGCAUCACUGAAUUGCAGCCUCAGGGGGUUUUGAUCGGGUAAUACUCGCAGGUCAGUAGUAAUGGAAGGGGCAGGGCCACCGGGCGUUGACCUCAGCAGGAAGUUUGUGUCGGAAGCUGAGCUUGAUGAGAUGAGGAAGAAGAGACAGGAGGAAUGGGAGAAAGUGAGGAAACCUGACGACCCAGAGGAUGCGCCGGAGGAGGUGUAUGACCCACGUUCCCUCUUUGAGCGAUUGCAGGAGCAGAAAGACAAGAAACAAGAGGAGUAUGAGGAGCAAUUCAAAUUCAGGAACAUGGUAAGGGGAUUGGACGAGGAGGAGAGCAGCUUCCUGGACGAGGUCUCCAGGCAACAGUGCCUGGUGGAGAAACAACGCAGGGAUGAGGAGAAACAGGAACUGUUGGAAUACAGAAGCGCUCUAGUGAAGCAAGUGUCCACGGAAAGUCGCAAAGAGCUGGAAAAGAAGGUGGCUGCUAAACAACCGGGGGCGGAGCAAAGGACCAGCCACCUGUCUCAGGCCCAUCUAUUGGCUGGAGCAGUCAAGAGACGCAGUUCCUCCCAGUCGUCAGACAGCAGUAAGAAGCAGAGGUUAACAACAACCGCAACGACAGGAAACGGAGACAGACACACAGAACAGGAGCAUGGAGCAGCAGGAGGAGAAGCAGGGGGAGCUGAAGAUCAACAAACAGUCCCCGGCCUUACGGCCAAGGCCCCGUCGGCUGCCCUGGGCUCCGGUCAAGGCGUGUUACACCUGCCGUCAGCGGCCGUGUGCGUCGGCGUUUUACCAGGACUCUGGGUUUAUUCCGGCAGCAGCGACUCUGACAGCAGUUCGGACAGCGAAGUUUAAGCCGAGCAACCAAUCCCGCACUGCCUACCCCGAUGACAUCCUUCCCCUCCCCCCCUACACCCAACCCUACUCCCACCCAAGGCACAGUGACUGCAAGCUGUGCUGUUGGCUGAGGGAACAGUGGUUGACAGCUGUGGAGCAAGGAAGAGACUGCUUUAGACUGUGUCAAAUGAUUCGCACCUUUUAGCUAGCAGCAGCAGAGGACAGAGAGCCGGGGCAGGACACACUUCGCUCUCCGUUUGGUUUAAAUGCAAAGCGUCAAAGGUUCGCUUGUGUUAAUGUCUGUAUCUCACCACCCAUCACAUGUAUGUGUGUGGAUAUGGAUUAUGAAUAAAAGGUAAACGUAUCCAGUAUUUCACAAGAAAAAUGCUGAACUUGUAAAA